GAUGAAGAACGCAGCGAAAUGCGAUAAGUAAUGUGAAUUGCAGAAUUCAGUGAAUCAUCGAAUCUUUGAACGCACAUUGCGCCCGCCAGCACUCUGGCGGGCAUGCCUGUUCGAGCGUCAUUUCAACCAUCAAGCCCCCGGCUUGUGUUGGGGACCUGCGGCUGCCGCAGGCCCUGAAAAGCAGUGGCGGGCUCGCUGUCACACCGAGCGUAGUAGCAUACAUCUCGCUCUGGGCGUGCUGCGGGUUCCGGCCGUUAAACCACCUUCAUAACCCAAGGUUGACCUCGGAUCAGGUAGGAAGACCCGCUGAACUUAAGCAUAUCAAUAAGCGGAGGA
rnacentral:misc_RNA from 1 species